GACGAACGCUGGCGGCGUGCCUAAUACAUGCAAGUCGAGCGGACUUUCAAGAAGCUUGCUUUUUGAAAGUUAGCGGCGGACGGGUGAGUAACACGUGGGCAACCUGCCUGUAAGACGGGGAUAACUCCGGGAAACCGGGGCUAAUACCGGAUAAUAUCUUUCUUCGCAUGAAGGAAGGUUGAAAGGCGGCGCAAGCUGCCGCUUGCAGAUGGGCCCGCGGCGGAUUAGCUAGUUGGUGAGGUAACGGCUCACCAAGGCGACGAUGCGUAGCCGGCCUGAGAGGGUGAUCGGCCACACUGAGACUGAGACACGGCCCAGACUCCUGCGGGAGGCAGCAGUAGGGAAUCUUCCGCAAUGGACGAAAGUCUGACGGAGCAACGCCGCGUGAGCGAAGAAGGUCUUCGGAUCGUAAAGCUCUGUUGUCAGGGAAGAACAAGUACCGUUCGAAUAGGGCGGUACCUUGACGGUACCUGACCAGAAAGCCACGGCUAACUACGUGCCAGCCGCCGCGGUAA
rnacentral:rRNA from 1 species